AUAAAGACGCCCCUGCUGUCGCUAACCCCGACACAGGCUUCAGCCGCCCCGGCCAGCGGCCUCCCCUCUGCCAUCAGCUGCCCUUGGAGUCUCCGCCCUGAGACUCGUAGUCUGCCCCCGGGGAAACCGCCCGCGCGCACCGCGCGCCCCCGGCCAGCACCUCCCGGCCACGGCCGCAGUCUCCUCCGCAGCUAUUGUGAAUAAUGCUGCUAUGAGCAUAGGUGUACAAAUUUGAAUCCACGUUCUCAAUUCUUUCAGACAGAGAUCACAAGUAGGCAGAGAAGAAGGCAGAGAGAGAGAAGGAAGCAGGCUCCCCGCUGAGCAGAGAGCUCGAUGCGGGGCUCGAUUCCAAGACCCUGCGAUCAUGACCUGAGCUGAAGGCAGAGACUUUAACCACUGAGCCACCCAGGCACCCCGGAAAUAUGCUGAUCUGAAGCUAAAGUCAAGUCUCGGCUCCAGAUCUGUUCUUUCCAACUCCACCUUGUGGUGCUAGGCCUCCAAUCCCUUCGACUACAUUUCUCCUUUGUCAGCAGAUUUUGUUUCCUUUCUAUGUUACUUCAUACCGAUUAUAGGAGAUGGACUGGAAAGCUGUAGUAAAUUUUCUGUUUCCCUGACUAGACAAUGACUGAUACAACUACUACCCAUUAAGAAAAGAACAACUUAAUGGCUGCUACACAGGUGCUCUUUGUCACCUCUCAGAUGGGCAAAAACAAGAAAGAAUAAGAUCCUGUGUUGGUCAGUGUAUGAGAACAAAUGAACUUAUAACUCUCGAAUGUAGAUUAAUACAGCCAUGAUUUCUGUGGACAAUUGGCAAUACAUGUUUGCGAUGCGUAUGUGUUUGGACCAAUAUAUUUCACUUCAUGGCAAAAAAAAAAAAAAUGAUGUUAUGUUAUUAGCUGGUCAUGGUAUUAGCUGAACCCAAUGCUUAUUUUCUAGAAUGUAGUUAUUAUUGUUGGUUAUCACAUUAUAUUUGUUGGUAAUGCCCAUCAUGUAAACAUGUUUCACCCUAUGUGGAUGUGUAUGGAUAUAUGUAGAUUUACUGAGAAUACCCAAUUCCCCUGUUAAUCCAGAGAGAAGUAAACUAUAAUGAGGAUAGAAAAAAGCAGUGCACCCUGGGAAAAAAUAUCACCUAGAAAUUGACAAAAAGCACCUACCGGUUGGAAGGCCAUUGUUCGGCACUACAUGGGAACAGUAGACCCCA